rnacentral:rRNA from 1 species
AGUGAUAUGCUUGCCUCAAGGGUUAAGCCAUGCAUGUCUAAGUAUAAACAUUUUUAUACUGUGAAACUGCGUACGGCUCAUUAUAUCAGCAAUUAUUAAUUUGAUGGUACUUACUAUAUGGAUAUCCGUAGUAAUUCUAGAGCUAAUACAUGCGUAAUUUCUAACUGAUCUUCGGAGACGUUGGAUGUAUUUAUUAGAUACAAAACUAAUGUGUUCUUUACUGAACUCCAUUGUGAUGACUUCUAGCAACUGUUUCAAAUCACAGGUCUUGCACCGGUGAUAGUUCAUUCAAAUUUCUGCCCUAUCAGCUUGACGGUAGUGUAGUGGACUACCGUGGCGUUAACGGGUAACGGAGAAUUAGGGUUCGAUUCCGGAGAGGGAGCCUGAGAAACGGCUACCACAUCCAAGGAAGGCAGCAGGCGCGCAAAUUACCCAAUCCCGACACAGGGAGGUAGUGACAAGAAUUAACAAUACCGGGCCUCUUUAGGUCUGGUAAUUGGAAUGAGUACAAAUUAAAACUCUUAACGAGGAUCAAGUGGAGGGCAAGUCUGGUGCCAGCAGCCGCGGUAAUUCCAGCUCCACUAGCGUAUAUUAAAGUUGUUGCAGUUAAAAAGCUCGUAGUUGGAUUUCUGGUAUGAUACGCCUGACCCGCUCUUUUUUAAGAGUGUGUGUCGGUGCGAGUCUGCCAUCUUUGUCAGUAACUACUGCUCUACCCUUCAUUGGGCUGGGGUAGUACAAGCUGAAUCGAUUACCUUGAAAAAAUGAGGGUGUUUAAAGCAGGCAAACGUUUUGGAUCUACUAGCAUGGAAUAAUAUCAUAGGACUUCGGUUCUAUUUUGUUGGUUUAUUGAAUCGAUGUAAUGAUUGAUAGGGAUAGUUGGGGGGUGCUA